rnacentral:rRNA from 1 species
UACAGAGGUCUCAAGCGUUGUUCGGAUUCAUUGGGCGUAAAGGGUGCGUAGGUGGCGGGGCAAGUCAGGUGUGAAAUCUCGGGGCUCAACCCCGAAACUGCACUUGAUACUGCCUUGCUCGAGUACUGGAGAGGAGAUUGGAAUUUACGGUGUAGCAGUGAAAUGCGUAGAUAUCGUAAGGAAGACCAGUGGCGAAGGCGGAAUCUCUGGACAGUUAC